rnacentral:rRNA from 1 species
AUUGAACGCUGGCGGCAGGCUUAACACAUGCAAGUCGAGCGGAGAUGAGGUGCUUGCACCUUAUCUUAGCGGCGGACGGGUGAGUAAUGCUUAGGAAUCUGCCUAUUAGUGGGGGACAACAUUCCGAAAGGAAUGCUAAUACCGCAUACGUCCUACGGGAGAAAGCAGGGGAUCUUCGGACCUUGCGCUAAUAGAUGAGCCUAAGUCGGAUUAGCUAGUUGGUGGGGUAAAGGCCUACCAAGGCGACGAUCUGUAGCGGGUCUGAGAGGAUGAUCCGCCACACUGGGACUGGGACACGGACCAGACUCCUACGGGAGGCAGCAGUGGGGAAUAUUGGACAAUGGGGGGAACCCUGAUCCAGCCAUGCCGCGUGUGUGAAGAAGGCCUUAUGGUUGUAUAGCACUUUAAGCGAGGAGGAGGCUACUGAGACUAAUACUCUUGGAUAGUGGACGUUACUCGCAGAAUAAGCACCGGCUAACUCUGUGCCAGCAGCCGCCGUAAUAC